UACAGAGGGUGCGAGCGUUAAUCGGAAUUACUGGGCGUAAAGCGUGCGUAGACGGUUAUUUAAGUCGGGUGUGAAAGCCCCGGGCUCAACCUGGGAAUUGCAUUCGAGACUCAAUAGCUAGGGUACGGUAGAGGGAAGUGGAAUUUCCGGUGUAGCGGUGAAAUGCGUAGAUAUCGGAAGGAACAUCAGUGGCGAAAGCGACUUCCUGAACCAGUACCGACGUUCAGGCACGAAAGCGUGGGGAGCAAACGGG
rnacentral:rRNA from 1 species